UGAGGAAUAUUGGGCAAUGCCCGCAAGGGUGACCCAGCAACGCCGCGUGGAGGAUGAAUGUCGUAAGAUUGUAAACUCCUGUUAGAGGGGAAGAAUAGUACCGGUUGGACCGGUAUAUGACUGUACCCUCAGAGAAAGCCCCGGCUAACUACGUGCCAGCAGCCGCGGUAAUACGUAGGGGGCAAGCGUUGUCCGGAUUUACUGGGUGUAAAGGGCGCGCAGGCGGGAUAAAAAGUCAGUGGUGAAAUCCUACAGCUUAACUGUAGAACUGCCUUUGAUACUUUUAUUCUUGAGUUCGGGAGAGAGAGACGGAAUUCCAGGUGUAGUGGUGAGAUACGUAGACAUCUGGAAGAACACCAGUUGCGAAGGCGGUCUCUUGGUCCGACACUGACGCUGAGGCGCGAAAGCGUGGGGAGCAAACA
rnacentral:rRNA from 1 species